UACGAAGGGGGCUAGCGUUGUUCGGAAUCACUGGGCGUAAAGGGCGCGUAGGCGGCCGAUCAAGUCGGGGGUGAAAGCCUGUGGCUCAACCACAGAAUUGCCUUCGAUACUGUUUGGCUUGAGACCGGAAGAGGUAAGUGGAACUGCGAGUGUAGAGGUGAAAUUCGUAGAUAUUCGCAAGAACACCAGUGGCGAAGGCGGCUUACUGGUCCGGUUCUGACGCUGAGGCGGCGAAAAGCGUGGGGAGCAAACAGG
rnacentral:rRNA from 1 species